AGAGUUUGAUCCUGGCUCAAGAUGAACGCUGGCGGCGUGCCUAACACAUGCAAGUCGAACGGAACUUUUACGGAUUGAGGCUUCGGCCGAUUGAGGUUUAAGUUUAGUGGCGGACGGGUGAGUAACGCGUGAGUAACCUGCCUUUCACAGGGGGAUAACGUUUGGAAACGAACGCUAAUACCGCAUAACGUAGCGGGGUCGCAUGGCUCUGCUACCAAAGAUUUUAUCGGUGAAAGAUGGACUCGCGUCCGAUUAGGUAGUUGGUGAGGUAACGGCCCACCAAGCCAACGAUCGGUAGCCGGACUGAGAGGUUGAACGGCCACAUUGGGACUGAGACACGGCCCAGACUCCUACGGGAGGCAGCAGUGGGGAAUAUUGCACAAUGGGCGCAAGCCUGAUGCAGCAACGCCGCGUGAGGGAAGACGGUUUUCGGAUUGUAAACCUCUGUCUUUGGUGACGAAGAAGUGACGGUAGCCAAGGAGGAAGCCACGGCUAACUACGUGCCAGCAGCCGCGGUAAUACGUAGGUGGCAAGCGUUAUCCGGAAUUACUGGGUGUAAAGGGAGCGCAGGCGGGACAGCAAGUCAGCGGUGAAAUUUAUGGGCUCAACCCAUAAACUGCCGUUGAAACUGUUGUUCUUGAGUGGAGUAGAGGCAGGCGGAAUUCCGAGUGUAGCGGUGAAAUGCGUAGAUAUUCGGAGGAACACCAGUGGCGAAGGCGGCCUGCUGGGCUCUAACUGACGCUGAGGCUCGAAAGUGUGGGGAGCAAACAGGAUUAGAUACCCUGGUAGUCCACACUGUAA
rnacentral:rRNA from 1 species